GCACUUUUUUAAUGUUUGGUGAGGGACAAUCUCAGUUCUUUCUUCCAGAAGUAACGGGAAGACACUUUCCAUGUGUCAGAAGAAUUUGACACCUGUUGGGAGAGCUGAGCGCAGCUGUCCCCGCUGAGAGGUGUUGUAGUCCAGGGCUGGGUGAGCUGGCUCAGGACCCCAGUGAGGUUCCCUUAGAAGGUGAGGUCUGGUGUCACACAGCUGAGCUUUGUGAACAACCUUGAGGGUGGUUGACUGGCAUCCCUUCUUCCUACAAGGGGAACAAAGCAAAUGGGCUUGGGCCCGGAUUAACCCAUCAGGGGUCAAGCCUACUCCAAGGUCUGGCUUUUCUGUGGCCCUGGCUCCAAAUCAUCAGAUACUGGUCUUCGGAGGCCUGUGAUGAUGAUGAUGAUGAUGAGGAGGAGGAGGAGGAGGAGGAGAGCCUGGAGGGCUCAUCCUUUAGUGACUUACAUAUCUACGAUCCUGCCAGGAGUCGCUGGUUUGCAGCACAGCUAAAGGUAGCCUAGGCUCCUGAGAGUCUUCCAUAUUACCUGUCUGUCUCCUACCCACUCUCAAGCCUUGUUGCUUCCUUUUAAGGCCCAUGUACUCUUCUAUGUGGGUCCUGGGUGACUAGGCUUGUAGUCCCUGUUCUUUCUUGGUGUCUGAUGGAGGAAGGUCAUUGGUUAAAUAAUAAAGAAACUGCUUGGCCCUCAUAGGUUAGAACAUAGGUGGGUGGAAUAAACAGAACAGAAUGCGGGGAGGAAGAGGAAGUGAGUUCAGAUGCCAUUUCCUCUCCUCUCUGGGGCAGACGCGAUGCCGCUCCUCUCCAGAGCAGACACAAUGAAGCAAGCCGCCAGGUCGGACAUGCUGAAUCUUUCCCGGUAAGACUGAUGCUACACAGAUUAUUAGAGAUGGGUUGAGAGAAUUAGCCAGUAAGGGCUAGAGCUAAUGGGCCAAGCAGUAUUUAAAAGAAUACAGUUUGUGUGUUGUUAUUUUGGGGCAUGAGCUAGCUAGGCAACCAGGAGCUGGGGCGGCAGGAACACAGCCCGCAGCUCUCCCCAACAGGUGUCACCUACCACUCCUUGGCAGAACCGAGAUGUUGA